ACGAACGCUGGCGGCGUGCCUAAUACAUGCAAGUCGAGCGGAAUGAUGAAGAAGCUUGCUUCUUCUGAUUUUUAGCGGCGGACGGGUGAGUAGCACGUGGGCAACCUACCUUGUAGAUUGGGAUAACUCCGGGAAACCGGGGCUAAUACCGAAUAAUCCAUUUUGCUUCAUGGCGAGAUGUUGAAAGACGGUUUCGGCUGUCACUACAAGAUGGGCCCGCGGCGCAUUAGCUAGUUGGUAGGGUAAUGGCCUACCAAGGCGACGAUGCGUAGCCGACCUGAGAGGGUGAUCGGCCACACUGGGACUGAGACACGGCCCAGACUCCUACGGGAGGCAGCAGUAGGGAAUCUUCCACAAUGGACGAAAGCCUGAUGGAGCAACGCCGCGUGAGUGAAGAAGGUUUUCGGAUCGUAAAACUCUGUUGUAAGGGAAGAACACGUACGAGAGUAACUGCUCGUACCUUGACGGUACCUUAUUAGAAAGCCACGGCUAACUACGUG
rnacentral:rRNA from 1 species